UAGGGAAUCUUCCGCAAUGGGCGAAACCCUGACGGAGCAACGCCGCGUGAGUGAUGAAGGUCUUCGGAUCGUAAAACUCUGUUAUUAGGGAAGAACAAAUGUGUAAGUAACUAUGCACGUCUUGACGGUACCUAAUCAGAAAGCCACGGCUAACUACGUGCCAGCAGCCGCGGUAAUACGUAGGUGGCAAGCGUUAUCCGGAAUUAUUGGGCGUAAAGCGCGCGUAGGCGGUUUUUUAAGUCUGAUGUGAAAGCCCACGGCUCAACCGUGGAGGGUCAUUGGAAACUGGAAAACUUGAGUGCAGAAGAGGAAAGUGGAAUUCCAUGUGUAGCGGUGAAAUGCGCAGAGAUAUGGAGGAACACCAGUGGCGAAGGCGACUUUCUGGUCUGUAACUGACGCUGAUGUGCGAAAGCGUGGGGAUCAAACAGG
rnacentral:rRNA from 1 species